rnacentral:lncRNA from 1 species
CUUGAAACUAGAUCUAUUUCUAUCUAUUAAUUUAUCGGUUAUUGGCUGGAGUACAGUAUGUUUUGUUUUGUUUUUUUGUUGACAGCGCACAGUUACUGCCCUUUAACAAAAUGCGCCAUUUGUACUGGAGGUGCGAUUAAUUCGUCGUCUGAGCGGUUUAAAAAAACUCAUAAGCAUGGCUUUUAAGUUAUUUAAAGACUUUAAAUGACGUCUGCGACAUUGUGCUAAUUUACUUUUUAUUUAGUGUCAGAUUAUACAGAUGUUGUGUACCAGUAACAGGUACUUGCCUUUUAAUUGAACCGUUGCACAGAGACACAGGCCCGGUUCCAGAAAUUUUUGACUGGGGGGCACCAGUCUAGAACGAAGAUGUCACCGCCGAGGUGCAUAGCAAGUAAUGAAGGAAUGGUAGAAGGGCCUGUUAGGAGAGGGAAAUCAGUUCAUAAAAACUGUUAGAAUUGUGGAAAACUUGCAUCAUAAUAAAAACAGAGAAUUUUUUGAAGAGGGGAAUGGGGCUGAAUUUCAGCCCCUAAUAAGGGAAGAGUGAUGGAUACAUUCUCAAGUCAUUGGCCAACCUUUGCUGUACAUCAGACUAAGACUGCAACUUACCGUGUGAUGUAACAACAAAAGCAGAAUGUCUACUGACUGAACUUCAGUAAUCAGAGGUGCAGGCAGUUGUUCUGCAUGAUGUAUGAGGAAAACAUAGUGGAUUUUUGGAUUUCACAGCAAUCAUGGAACAUGUUUGAUAGAUCAUGCUGCAGUGAGAAACCCAAGAAAUUUUUGUGUGCAUAGUUAUGUGCCAUGGAGUGUCAUGGGAAAAGGAUGUGGAAAAUAUAGGGAUAAGG